GGACUGUGGUUCAGCGGCGGAGCGCUUGCCUUGCACGUGAGAGGACCUGGGUUCAAUCCUCAGCACCA
rnacentral:tRNA from 1 species